GAUGAAGAACGCAGUGAAAUGCGAUAAGUAGUGUGAAUUGCAGAAUUCAGUGAAUCAUCGAAUCUUUGAACGCACAUUGCGCCCUUUGGUAUUCCAAAGGGCAUGCCUGUUCGAGCGUCAUUUGUACCCUCAAGCUUUGCUUGGUGUUGGGCGUCUUGUCUCUAGCUUUGCUGGAGACUCGCCUUAAAGUAAUUGGCAGCCGGCCUACUGGUUUCGGAGCGCAGCACAAGUCGCAUUCUCUAUCAGCAAAGGUCUAGCAUCCAUUAAGCCUUUUUUUCAACUUUUGACCUCGGAUCAGGUAGGGAUACCCGCUGAACUUAAGCAUAUCAAUAAGCGGAGGA
rnacentral:misc_RNA from 1 species